rnacentral:lncRNA from 1 species
AGAAAUAUUCUGAAUAAAAAAAAUAGUUAUAUAAGUUUAUCAACUACGCAAAAAGCUUAAAUAUUUCGAAAUCGCUUAGUAGUAUCAAAAUUUAGAAAUGAGUAUAUAUAUAUAUAUAUAUUUAAACUGAAUAAAAACAUAUUUAUCAUAUAGCUAUUUAAACUGCUAUUUUUUUUUUUGUCAACAGGAUAUUCCAUUUAUCUAGCCCUCGGGCUUCGAUUACAAAGUUUCGGGCUUAACAUGAUAAACAAAAGGCCCAACAGAGUUUAAAUAACUUUACAGCCCAAAUUGGAUAUGACCUAGAGUUUUGGUAGUUACACGUGUGUGAUCAAACGGGCACACAAGAUACAUCGCCUUCCACGCGUCAAACAUGCAAAAAGCGAUAUCUCCGCCGCUUCCAGAGCUUCACCACCGUGACUCACCGGUCAGUCGCAAUCUAAUUUCUUCACUCCGCCGUAAUAUCUAUGCCCGAAGACCAAUCUUCACUCUCCUUGGCGCCUCUGCCUUUCUCCAAUCUUCAAAAUCUUCUUUGGAUGUUGUAAACUCCACAAAGCUUCAAUCGAUUUGAUAACAGUCAUUGUCGAAACACUUGCAUAAACAACUUUUGACUUCUCUUAAACUGAAUCAAAUCGGAAAAACUAUUAUGCAAAUCUCAACAGUCUAUUCCUUUGGAAUACUUUGCCGUAACAUUUUUAAUGACAAAGAUUGAUUUCCUCUGGAAAUAGAGAUUAAGCAUGACCAAGAGAACAGAAGAGGAUCAAAGAGACAGCCGGGAUGUGAAAUUGAAGAGGAGAGACGAAGAAAACUUUUUUAACCAAUCCGAACAGAGAAAGUAUCAAUCUAUAAAAACAGCUCUGAAUCGAAUUGGAGAAUUCACACCAAAAAAUCGCCUAACGCGAAGAAAGAGAUCGCCUUAGCGAAAUGGAAAUCGAUCGAAAGAUCGAAGAUUUAUCUUACAUCAAAAAGUGUACUUCGAUCCUCUGUGAAAGAUAAGGAUCCGUGAACAGGGCUGAUCGAGAGAGAAGUGUCUCUCUAAAAGUAACUGCUAUUUAUUAAAGAAAAUUUUGUCCAUUGCGGAUAUGGAGUCAGACCGCUGCACGUGUCCUCUUCUUAGGCUUUGGUAGACGCGUAACAAGUCCACGCGUCUCACAUGCGAUCUCCGGCAAUCACGGCCGUCUCAAAAAAGUUCUCCGCCGCAAACGUCCACGUCUUCUCGUCUUCUCAUGCGUCUUCUCUUUCUCACGGCAAUCACAUGCGUCUUCUCUUUCUAUCGGCAUCUCUCAUCUGUUCUGUAAGACCACCGGUACCAUAAUAGGUAGAAUCUCCUCUGUCACCCUCUUUUCUCGUCUUCAAACUUCCUUUGCAGCCGGCUGGAGCAUGUCGCGUCUUCGAUAUUGAAGAAUCGAAGAUCUUUAAGACUCGCCCACUAAGGAUUGCGGUCAGAAACAGACACGAAAUUACCCAAUCCAAGACUGAAAAUUUCGAUUGAAGAGAGAUGGAAUCUAAUCAAACCGGGAGAUCUACACCAAUAGCUCUUGGAACACAGAGAGCUAACCCCAAAUCCGAUCAAAAGACCGGAACUUUAUUUAUUCAAAUCAAACCAAAGAAAAAACAAAACACUUGAAGAACAACUUCAGUUUGAUUUGAAAAGUCACAACAAAAUUCGGCUAAAGCGAAAAACAAUCGCCAACGCAAACUGGAAUCCGCAAGCGGAAGUAUAACAUCGACGAUCAAACUAUUUUACAGACAAAAAAGCUCAGCUCAAUCUCUCCCCCUCUGGCUCUGGAAGAUGGAAGUUUGAUAAGAGGGGUCGAGAGAAAUUUCUCUCUCUUAAGAAAAGAGAGAGAGAGAGCUAAGCUUACAAAUAGCAAACUAAAAAAGAA